rnacentral:rRNA from 1 species
CAGUUCGGAUUGCAGGCUGCAACUCGCCUGCAUGAAGUCGGAAUCGCUAGUAAUCGCGGAUCAGCACGCCGCGGUGAAUACGUUCCCGGGCCUUGUACACACCGCCCGUCACACCACGGAAGUUGGGAGUACCCAAAGUAGGUUGCCUAACCGCAAGGAGGGCGCUUCCUAAGGUAAGACCGAUGACUGGGGUGAAGUCGUAACAAGGUACC